rnacentral:lncRNA from 1 species
GGAAGGCAACAAGGUUCGAGGCACUGAACUUGGACCUUUUCUCUCUGGAAUGGCCAUGACGUUGACUAUUGAAGACUGCUGUAUUCAUCUUGAGUGUUUGGAGCACAAUGAUACAACUGUUCAACCUAUUUGAUAUGGAUUUCUCCUAUUCGGAAGAAAUUUCAACAACUUCACUUCUAACUUAAACACAUUCAUCGACUAGCCUGGCCAACAUGGUGAAACCCCGUGUCUACUAAAAAUACAAAAAUUAGCUGGGCGUGGUGGCAUAUGCCUGUAGUCCCAGCUACUUGGGAGGCUGAGGCAGAAGAAUCACUUGAACCUGGGAGGCAGAGGUUGCAGCAAGCCGAGAUUGUGCCAUUGCACUCCAGCCUGGGCGACAAGAGCAAAACUCCGUCUCAAAAAAUAAAUAAACAAACACAUAUAACACUGUCAAAAUAAGGAGAAACUUUCUUUCCCACAUUGAAAGUCAUUGAUGUUUUCCUUAAAAGCAUUGUAUCAUGUUUGUAUUCUUUAACAAUCAAAAAGAAUCAUUGUC